AGGAGGAGGCACAUUCUCUCCGGAAUGUGAAGCUGGCUCUUAAUGCUUCUUUUCUGCAAAUGUCAUUUGCGAUUGAUGAUCAUACUUCCCUUCCUGUGGGAGAGUUAGGAGAUGAAGAAUGCCUUCUGA
rnacentral:snoRNA from 1 species